rnacentral:lncRNA from 10 species
GGUGCAGAGAGGCACUGCAUCCAUUCUGUCUCCGGGUGAGGAGCAGCUCAGAUGGCCCCGGUAGCAGAAGGAACAGGGAUGGGACCAGUCCUGGUUGAAUACUCACAUCCAGGUGGCCACAGCAUGACAUAGGCUUGAGUGAACUGAGAGAACCAGCCUGGAUGGCAGAGCUUUUGUUUCAGCUCACCUGCACUGAAGCUGUUUCCCAAGAGGAUGACCCGGGUGCCUGCCUGGCUAAGUAACAAGCAAACAUUUCGGAGCCUAAGUUUGGGAAAGAGCCUGAAGGCCCCUACACCCUGAAGCAACAUUCCAAGCCUUGCUGCUCACAAUGCGGUCCCGGGACCAGCGGCAGCAGCAGCAGCCCAGGACGCUUGUUAGAAAUGCGGCACCUCCGGCCCCACUUCAGACGUUCUGAACCCAAAUCUGCAUUUUAUCACGAUCCCAGGUGAUUCAUGUGCCCGUUAGAGUGAGCGAAGCCCUGGAUUAGAGAACAGAAAUUAGACGUGACCCUUCCUUUGACAGGAAUUUAUCACCAGGCUCUAUCUCAAGAACUGUGAGAAUUCGGUUCAGAUGUUUGUGAUAACUCUGCAGCAGUAACUGACUAGCGUGGUGGUUCUCUUCCCUGACUGGGCGUUGGAAUCAGCGAGGGAAGUUUUAAAAGAUGUUGAUGUGCAGAAUUUACCCAAGAGGUUGUGAUUCAAUGGGUGUCUGGGAAGGGGCUGGGACAUCUGUGUUUACUUAGAGUUCCCCAGGUGAUUCUACUGUGCAGCCAGGGCUAAGAGGCCCUGGGGUACAAAUAUCAUCUUGAAUGGUUAGACUUCUUUCUGAAUGGGAGUGAUGUAAUUUCCGAUUUGCCCACCGAGCACAGCAUGCUGGGCCCUGAGGAUGUUACAGAAGUGGAUACCAUUAUUGCUCUCCAGGGACAAUUCAUCGAGGAACAAUAUGGCAUCUGCAAGGUGAAAAAAGAGCGAUAACAGGAGAUGCCGCAAAGUGUGGCUUCCAGACACAAGAGUGUGCUGGGAGGAGAGCUGAGGAGAUAAAGUUUUAUCGGAACACAGCCAUGUCCAUUCAUUCCCAUAUAGUCUACGGCUGCUUUUGCACUGCAACAGCAGAGUUCAACGCAUGUGACAGAGACCAUGGGGUUCACAAAGCCAGCAAUAUUCACUUUCCAGCCCUUCACAGAAAGAGUUUGCCAGUCUCUCUGCUCUCCAGUCUUGGUGAGAAGAUACGACAAGAAGUUGGCCAUCUGCAACCAGUAAGAAGACCUUCACCAGAACCUGACCGUGCUGGUACCUGACCUCAGCCUUCCAGCCUCCAGAGCUGGGAGAGAUACCUUUCUGUUGUUUAUAAGCCAAAAAAAUACAGAAAGAAAAAGAAAAAGUUUGCCAACCCCUAAUCUAAGUGAUAAAAGGUGAACUAUAUAUAUAUAUAGUUUAUAUAUAUAUAAUUCCUUUCAUAGAAUACUCCCAUAAAAAUUAUGCAUGUUAUGUAAUAUAUAUUAAUUUUUAUGUAUGUAAAUUAAUAGAAGAGAUGUCAGAGGCUGCACCCUAAACUGUUAACAAUGUUUCCCUACGAAAGAGGAGCAGAGCUGGAGAGUGGUAGAUAGGAGAUGUUUUAUUAUUUAUGCCUAUAUUUGUUUCAUUCGGAUA